rnacentral:rRNA from 1 species
UACGAGGGGGGCAAAUGUUGUUCGGAAUCACUGGGCGUAAAGGGAGCGUAGGCGGGUUUCUAAGUCAGGUGUUUAAUCCCGGGGCCCAACCCCGGACAGGCACUUGAAACUGGGAAUCUUGAAUAGUGGAGAGGUCAGUGGAAUUGGGGGUGUAGCGGUGGAAUGCGCAGAUAUCAGGAGGAACACCGGUGGCGAAGGCGGGUCUCUGGGCCGUAACUGACGCUGAGGAGCGAAAGCAUGGGGAGCGAACAGG